rnacentral:rRNA from 1 species
UUCCGGUUGAUCCUGCCGGACCUGACUGCUAUCGGAUUGAUACUAAGCCAUGCGAGUUUUUGUAGCAAUACAAGGCAUACGGCUCAGUAACGCGUAGUCAAUCUAACCUAUGGACGAGGAUAACCUCGGGAAACUGAGAAUAAUACUCGAUAGAUCAUUAUGCCUGGAACGGUUUAUGGUUAAAAUGAAUUUCGCCAUAGGAUGGGACUGGGUCUAUCAGCUUGUUGGUGAUGUAAUGGACCACCAAGGCUAUAACAGAUACGGGCUCUGAGAGGAGAAGCCCGGAGAUGGGUACUGAAACACGGACCCAGGCCCUAUGGGGCGCAGCAGGCGAGAAAACUUUGCAAUGUGCGAAAGCACGACAAGGUUAAUCCGAGUGAUUCCUGCUAAAGGAAUCUUUUGUUAGUCAUAAUACCACUAAUGAAUAAGGGGUGGGCAAGUUCUGGUGUCAGCCGCCGCGGUAAAACCGCACCUCAAGUGGUCAGGAUGAUUAUUGGGCCUAAAGCAUCCGUAGCCGGCUCUGUUAGUUUUCGGUUAAAUCUAUAUGCUCAACAUAUAGGCCGCCGGGAAUACUACAAAGCUAGGGAGUGGGAGAGGUAGACGGUACUCCGUAGGAAGGGGUAAAAUCCUUUGAUCUAUGGAUGACCACCAGUGGCGAAGGCGGUCUACCAGAACACGUUCGACGGUGAGGGAUGAAAGCUGGGGGAGCAAACCGGAUUAGAUACCGGGUAGUCCCAGCUGUAAACUAUGCAAACUCAGUGAUGCAUUGGCUUGUGGCCAGUGCAGUGCCGCAGAGAAGUCGUUAAGUUUGCCGCCUGGGAAGUACGUACGCAAGUAUGAAACUUAAAGGAAUUGGCGGGGGAGCACCACAAGGGGUGAAGCCUGCGGUUCAAUUGGAUUCAACGCCGGG